UCACCUGCCGCGCUGAGCCGCUGGUCGGUGAUUCGGUCAGUUGGCUCGCUCGUUCCCGCGCGCGGCUGCCUCCUCCCCACGCUGUCCCGGCCGCGCUACUGUGCGAGCGCGUCCGGCGGCGGCAGCGGCUGGGGCCUGGGGGCCGGUCCGGCAGGAGCAGCAGCAUGUCGUUUGAUAUCCUCUCUGGCAAGUUGCUAUUCUCGUCCUGCGCCGCGGCGAAGCCCCCGAGAAAGAAAGUGAUCAAGGUUCUUGCUACCGGUGCUUCGCCGUCGACGCCGUCAAGGUCGAGGUCAUCGAAUUCCUCUUCUCUCCGCCCACGGCGCAUACGAACCGUGCCAUCGAGUCCCACCAAGCAGGCGCCGCAGCCUGCCGUCCGCAGCUCCAGCGGCACCGUGAAGAGACGAGGGCGGAGGAGCAAGGUCGAGGAAGAGCAAGGCGUAGGGGGAGGAGAAAAAGGGGGUGAGUGCGUGCCGUCGACGGAGGAGGCGUCUAUCAGCGUGGGAACGCUGUACCAGAAUGGCGACCCGCUCGGGCGGAAGGAGCUCGGCCGCUGCGGAGUGGAGUGGCUCAGGCAGGGCAUGGGAUCCAUGGCGUCCAAGCUCGCUGCGGCCGAACUGGAGGGCGACCUCGCCGGCGCGGCAUUGGCUCUGGAGUGGGGGUCGGCGGAAGGCAGGCUUGGGUUCGUGAUCCAAGCGCAGCCUUACCUCUCCGCCAUCCCCAUGCCUCAGGGCCUGGAGGCGCUCUGCCUCAAGGCCUGCACGCACUACCCCACCCUGUUCGACCAUUUCCAGCGUGAGCUCCGUGAUGUUCUGCUGGGUUACCAGAACCAGGGGCUCAUCUCCGACUGGCGAGACACGCAGUCAUGGAGGAUUUUGAAAGAAAUGGCCAAUUCUUCGCAGCAUCGGGCUGCUGUGCGCAGGACAUCUCCACGGCCUAAAGCCAUCCACAGCAGCAUUGGUAUAAGCCUUAAAAAGGUGAGGCUGAUGCAGGCCAGAAUUGAAGAAUUCGUUAGGCAUAUGUCAGAUCUUCUUCAGAUUGAGCGAGAUGUGGAGCUGGAGUUUACACAGGAGGAGCUGAAUGCAACUCCCAUUCUAGAUGAUGAUUCCGAGCCACCCAAGCCGGUCGAGUACCUGGUGAGCCAUGGGCAGGCUCAGCAGGAGCAGUGCGACACCAUUUGCAACUUGAAUGUGAUCAGCAGCUCCACUGGGUUGGGAGGCCUGCAUUUGGUUCUUUUCAGAGUUGAAGGUGGGCAUAAGCUGCCUCCAACUACAUUAUCUCCUGGAGACAUGGUUUGUGUGAGAACAUGCAAUAGCCGUGGUGAGGGUGCCACUUCUUGCAAGCAAGGCUUUGUUUAUAAUUUUGGGGAAGAUGGUUGCAGCAUAACAGUAGCUCUGGAAUCACGCCACGGUGAUGCCACAUUCUCUAGGCUAUUUGGAAAAAGUGUGCGAAUUGACCGGAUUCAGGGAUUGGCUGAUGCCCUUACAUAUGAGCGCAACCUUGAAGCGUUAUUGCUUCUCCAAAGGAACGGUUUACAUAAAGAUAAUGUUUCCAUUGGCAUUGUGGCAACACUGUUUGGGGACAGUAAAGACGUGGUGAAGAUGGCGAAGAAUAACCUGACUGAUUGGGAUGAAUCAAGUGGACCUGAUCUGAGUCUACCAGAGAGGCAUGCAUAUGAUGCCUCCCAGUUAAGGGCUCUCAAAUUAGGCUUGAACAAAAAGAGGCCUGUUCUAAUAAUCCAAGGGCCUCCUGGCACGGGAAAGACAGUCUUGCUCACUGAGCUCAUUGUGCGUGCUGUCAAGCAGGGUGAGCGUGUACUUGUGACUGCUCCAAGUAAUGCGGCAGUCGAUAACAUGGUUGAAAGUUUGUCGAGUAGUGGAUUGAACAUUGUGCGAGUUGGAAACCCCGUUCGACUAUCACCCUCUGUUGCUUCGAAGUCCUUAGGAGAGGUUGUGAAUGGCAGACUUCGACAAUUCAGAAAGGAGCUUGAGAGAAAGAGAACAGACUUAAGAAAGGACCUGAGGCAGUGCAUAGAAGAUGAUUCUUUAGCUGCCGGCAUUCGCCAACUGCUGAAGCAACUUGGAAGGGAUCUGGAAAAUAAAGAAAAGGAAACAAUUAGAGAAGUGCUCUCCAAUGCACAGAUUGUGCUAUCAACUAACACAGGGGCAGCUGAUCCACUCAUCAGGAGAACUGGGUGCUUUGACUUAGUAAUUAUUGAUGAAGCAGGGCAAGCAACUGAGCCUGCCUGCUGGAUACCUAUAUUGCAGGGAAAGCGCUGUAUUGUUGCUGGGGAUCACUGCCAACUUGCACCCGUUAUAUUGUCAAGGAAGGCCUUAGAUGGUGGGCUUGGUAAAUCUUUGUUGGAAAGAGCUUCAUCCUUGCAUGAUGAUUUACUGACGACAAUAUUGUCAACGAAGGCCUUGGAUGGUGGGCUUGGUAAAUCUUUGUUGGAAAGAGCUUCAUCCUUGCAUGAUGAUUUACUGACGACAAGACUGACAGUCCAGUACAGGAUGCAUGAUUCAAUAGCCAUGUGGGCAUCUAAGGAGAUGUACAAUGAGUUGCUCAAAUCCUCUCGUUCAGUUGCUUCACAUCUUCUUGCUGACUCUCCGGUUGUCAAGGCAACUUGGAUAACACGGUGCCCGCUGCUCUUACUUGACACCCGAAUGCCAUAUGGAUCCUUAAACAUCGGUUGCAAGGAGCAUUUAGAUCCUGCUGGCACAGGCUCAUUUUAUAAUGAAGGGGAAGCAGAUAUAGUCACACAGCAAGUUCUUAAUCUUGUACACUGUGGAGUGUCUCCAACUGCAAUUGUUGUUCAGUCACCCUACAUUGCUCAAGUGCAAUUGUUAAGAGAGAAGCUAGAAAAAUAUCCAGAACUUUCUGCUAUUGAGGUUUCAACCAUAGAUAGCUUUCAGGGGAGGGAGGCAGAUGCAGUGAUCAUAUCAAUGGUUCGGUCGAAUCCACUGGGAGCCGUAGGGUUUCUGGGCGACAGCAGGCGCAUCAAUGUGGCUAUUACGAGGGCACGCAAGCACGUCACUGUGGUUUGCGAUACCUCCACUAUUUGUCACAGCACCUUCCUGGCCAGGCUCCUUCGCCAUAUCAGGCGGUAUGGGCAAGUAAAACACGUUGCCCCUGGUUCCUUGGACGGGGUUUCUGGCCUCGGCUUCAGUCAACCUACUCUCCCCUCUAUCAGUUGACACACGGCAAAUUACAAACACUCUGUUUGAGCAUGUAUAUAUGCAAACAGCUGAAGGCUUUGUACAUACACACAGAAUUGGAAGCUGAGAGGUCAUCAUAUGGCCGGCCUGUUCUAGAUAUAUCCAUGAAGAGGAUUCAAACAGUGAUUCAUGGAUAGACAGCCAAGACCGUCACAAGGUGAUGAUGCACGGGCAAUCUGCUGUUCAACUUAACUGGGGGUAUGGGGCGAGUCAGUCUUCCAUUUAAUUUUUGAACUGAUGGACAGGAGGAUGAGUAUUCAGGAAGAGGGAAUCCUGAGUAUCACUAACCUCUUGCUUGCCUGACACGAUGCUCCUAUUGCUGUAAAUAAAUUACUGUCAACAAGGAUACGGACCCAGUGCAGAUUACAGACAUGUACAGCACAUUGACAGUUUCAUAAUUGAGUUCCAGGCUUUUCAUCCUGUGCUUUUCAUUUGGAAGCUACAGACUUGGAGCAACAUGUCACGCUGUCGACAUUUGAAAGUGUCAGAUGACAGCAAGGUGAAACAUUCUUUGAAGAAUGCUUGCUGCUCCAAAUUUCCGAACAGCCGCCGCUUCAUGUGAAACAGCUCAAGAUUCUACGGAAAACCAAACUGCACUUCAUGUUCGUUCUCUCAUAAAUCGUAGAUAGAGGUGUAUCUGAUCACACGCCUCUAUUACUGGAUACAGGAUCUCCGGCUUACACCUGGAAAGGACGUCAGUUCAAAAUGGAAUUAUGCUGGUUCUCCCGGGAGGAUUUCCAUGAUCGUGUUGCGGAAAUUUAGAAUAAGUCUCAGGAUAAAAUUCGGUUCAAAGGUGGAAUAAGAAGAUGAGUGCGCUGCGCAGAUACCUUCGUGGUUGGGCAUCUCACACAAAUGGGGUAUACAAGCAGCAGAAAAACUCCCUACAAUCUAUUGUCAAUGAUUUGGAUAUCGCUGCUGAAGUACGGGACCUAUCUGUAGCUGAGCGUGAUCAGCUAGCGUAGGCCCGUGAUCAGCUGACCAAGCUACUACAUGAAGAGGAGAAGUAUUAUCAGCAGGAGAUAUUAUGCUAGGAGACAAUAACACAAGAUAUUUCCAAACGAUUGCCAAUGGCAAACAUAGGAAAAAUAGAAUUUUUUUCCCUUGACCAUGAUAACCAAAAAAUUGAGGGUCAAGAGAAUAUCAAAGCAUACAUAACAUGUUUUUAUAAAGAUCGGGAUGAUAUUUCUCAAGU